rnacentral:rRNA from 1 species
AUGAGGCGACACCUCUCUGGAUGGGCAAAACACACCAACGGAAUAUAUAAAAAAGAAAAACAAAGGCUCUGUACCAUCAUUGAUGACCUCGACAAAAUUGCAGAGACGCGCACAUUGUCUCAGCAAGAGAUUGAAUUGAAAAAUCAAUCUAAUGAGAUGGUUGCCCGUCUAUUGCGAGAAGAGGAGAUCAAAUACUACCAGAGAUCCAAAGCUGAUUUCAUUUUAAUGGGUGAUAGUAAUACAAGAUACUUCCAAUUGAUCGCCAAUGGGCGGCAUAGGAAGAAAUGUAUUUACAGUCUCCAACAAGAUGAGGGGAGGAUCGAAGGUCAGGAGGAGCUCAAAAAGUAUAUCACCAAAUACUACAAAUCUCUUUUCGGAGCGCCGACUGAAGGGAAUUUCACCCUUGAUGAAACCCGAAUAGAUGAUAUUCCACAUGUCACAGCAGAUGAAAACGAUAUCCUAACGGCACCAUUCUCAGAAGAGGAGGUACGAGCUGCGGUGUUCCAAAUGGAACAUAACAAAGCUCCAGGCCCUGAUGGCUUCCCCACAGAAUUCUAUCAGAAUUUCUGGGAUAUCAUCAAGUCCGACCUUUUGGAGUUGUUCAAUUGUUUUCAUGCCGACCAACUUGACCUAUUCAGACUUAAUUUUGGCGAGAUUGUCUUGUUGCCGAAGAUUAAGGAGGCCGAACGGAUUCAACAGUUCAGACCCAUAUGCCUCCUUAAUGUCAGCUUCAAGAUUUUCACCAAAGUGAACAUGAGUGGAGUAGUAUUCAAAAUAGACUUUGAAAAAGCCUAUGACAAGGUCAAAUGGUCUUUCCUCCAACAGGCCCUAAGGAUGAAAGGCUUCUCCGAUAAAUGGUGCAAGUGGAUCCACAAUUUUGUAACUGGAGGUAGUGUGGCCAUCAAAGUCAAUGAUGAUGUCGGCCAUUAUUUUCAGACAAAAAAAGGACUACGACAGGGUGAUGCCAUAUCCCCAAUGUUAUUUAACAUUGUGGCUGACAUGUUGGCUAUUCUGAUUGAGCGCGCCAAGCAGGACGGGCAAAUUACAGGAGUAGUGCCA